rnacentral:tRNA from 1 species
GGGCCCAUGGUCUAGUGGCUAUGACAUCGCCCUUACAAGGCGAGGGUCGCCGGUUCGAAUCCGGCUGGGCCCA